rnacentral:rRNA from 1 species
GGCGAAGGAAGGAAGGGCGCACGGGGGAUGCCUUGGCACGGACAGGCGAGGAAGGACGCGGCAAGCGGCGAAACGCCCGGGGGAGGAGCACGCAUCCGGUGAUCCCGGGGUCUCCGAAUGGGGCAACCCGGCCCUCCGUUGAGGGGGGUCAUCCCGUCCCGGAAGGGGUGGGAGGCGAACGCGGGGAAGUGAAACAUCUCAGUACCCGCAGGAUGAGAAAUCAAUCGAGAUUCCCCUAGUAGUGGCGAGCGAACGGGGAGGAGCCCAAACCGUGGGGCCCGAGGGCUCUGCGGGGUUGGAGGGCCCAAGCGGGGCGUAGCCCGUCCUGGAGCGCUGGCGAGUCGAAGUCGGCUGGAAGGCCGCACCGGAGAAGGUGAGAGUCCUGUAGGCGGAGCCGGUGGUUUCGGGAUGGCUUGGGUGCCUGAGUACGGUGGGGCACGUGGAACCCUGCCGGAAGCUGGGGGGACCACCCUCCAAGGCUAAAUACUCGUCCGUGACCGAUAGUGCACCAGUACCGUGAGGGAAGGGUGAAAAGCAGGCCGGGAGGCCGGUGAAAGAGAGCCUGAAACCGUGCGCCUACAAGCGGUGGGAGGGGUGCUCCUUGGGGGUGCCCUGACCGCGUGCCUUUUGCAUUAUGAUCCGGCGAGUGGUCGUGCGCGGCGAGGUUAAGCGGUGGGCAAGCCGCGGAGCCGAAGCGAAAGCGAGUCGAAGGGGCGUGGAGUCGCGUGCGACCGACCCGAAGCCGUGGCGAUCUACCCAUGGGCAGGCUGAAGCUGGGGUAACGCCCAGUGGAGGGCCGAACGGGUGGCUGUUGCAAAAGCCUCCGAUGACCUGUGGGUAGGGGUGAAAGGCCAAGCAAGCCCGGGGAUAGCUGGUUCUCUCCGAAAACUAUUGAGGUAGUGCCUCGGGUGGUGCCGGCCGGAGGUAGAGCGCUGUUAGGGGGCGGGCCCCGUGGAGGGGUACCAACUCCUGGCAAACUCCGAAUGCCGGUCGGUGGAGCCCGGGAGACAGUCGGCGGGCGAUAAUGUUCGUCGGCGAGAGGGGAAGACCCCAGACCCUCGGCUAAGGUCCCCAAGUGGCGGCUUAGUGGGGCAAAGGAGGUGGGCGUGCCCAGACAGCGGGGAGGUUGGCUUGGAAGCAGCCAUCCUUGAAAGAGUGCGUAACAGCUCACCCGUCGAGUGCGCCUGCGCCGAAAAUGGUCGGGACUGAAGCCGUCCGCCGAAGCCGGGGGUGGUCGCUGUGGGAGGCGGCCGCGGUAGGAGAGCGUUCCCGUCGGCGGGGAAGCCGAGGCGUGAGCCUUGGUGGAGCGGCGGGAAGUGAGGAUGCCGGAAUGAGUACGCGAGAACGUGGGUGAGAGUCCCACGCGCCGAAAGCCUAAGGGUUCCGGGGCCAGGUUCGUCCGCCCCGGGUGAGUCGGGUCCUAAGCCGAGGCCGAGAGGCGUAGGCGAUGGGAAUCCGGUCAACAUUCCGGAACCGUCUUUGGGGCUGGUGAUCCGUUGGGGGGACGCCGAAGCGAAGGGGGAGCCGGGGUUGGCUUGCCCGGUGCAAGGUGGUAGGCGGUCCCGCGGGGAAAACGCGGGCAGCCGAGCGCCGAGCCCUUGGUGGGGGUGCGAACCUCUGCCGAGUCCCCUGGAGCCUGCGGCCGAGAAAAGCCCCGGCGGGGAGGCCUCGAGGGCGCCCGUACCGCAAACCGACACAGGUAGGCGAGGCGAGGAGCCUCAGGCGCGCGAGUGAACUGCGGAGAAGGAACUCGGCAAAAUGCCCCCGUACCUUCGGUAGAAGGGGGGCUCCGAGUACUUGACCCUCGGUGCGAGGGGAGGGGAAAGGAGCCGCAGAGAAUCGGCCCAAGCGACUGUUUAGCAAAAACACAGGUGCCUGCCAAGUCGCAAGACGACGUAUAGGCACUGACGCCUGCCCGGUGCCGGAAGGUUAAGGGGAAGGGUUAGCUCCCCGUUGGGGGGGCGACGCCCGGAACCGAAGCCCCGGUAAACGGCGGCCGUAACUAUAACGGUCCUAAGGUAGCGAAAUUCCUUGUCGGGUAAGUUCCGACCUGCACGAAUGGCGUAACGACUUGGGCGCUGUCUCCUCCGCACGCUCGGCGAAAUUGGAGUCUCGGUGAGGAUACCGAGUACCCGCGACAGGACAAAAAGACCCCGUGCACCUUUACUGCAGCCUGCGAUGGCGUGCUUGCUCUUCUUGCGUAGGAUAGGUGGGAGCCUGGGAAGCCGUCCCUCCGGGGGCGGUGGAGGCGCCGGUGAAAUACCACCCUGGGAGAGUGGGCGCGCUCACGGGCCGGGUGGACCGGCCUGGACAGUCGUUGGUGGGCAGUUUGACUGGGGCGGUCGCCUCCUAAAGGGUAACGGAGGCGCGCAAAGGUGCCCUCAGCGCGGUCGGCAAUCGCGCGGUGAGUGCAAAGGCAGAAGGGCGCUUGACUGCGAGAGCGACGGCUCGAGCAGGUGGGAAACCAGGCCUUAGUGAUCCGGUGGUUCCGCGUGGGCGGGCCAUCGCGCAACGGACAAAAGGUACGCCGGGGAUAACAGGCUGAUCGCCCCCGAGAGUCCACAUCGACGGGGCGGUUUGGCACCUCGAUGUCGGCUCAUCGCAUCCUGGGGCUGGAGAAGGUCCCAAGGGUCGGGCUGUUCGCCCGUUAAAGCGGUACGUGAGCUGGGUUCAGAACGUCGUGAGACAGUUCGGUCUGUAUCCGUCGCGGGCGUUGGAGGACUGCGGGAGGCCGUCCCCAGUACGAGAGGACCGGGACGGACGGGCCGCUGGUGUACCAGUUGUCCCGCCCGGGGCAGCGCUGGGUAGCCAUCGCCCGGAGGGGAUAACCGCUGAAGGCAUCUAAGCGGGAAGCCCUGCCCAAGAUGAGUCCUCCCGUGGGCCGCGAGGCCCCCGAAGGGCCGCCGCAGACGACGGCGUCGAUAGGCGGCAGGUGGAAGGCGGGCGACCGCUUUCGAGCCGAGCCGUCCUAAGGGCCCGAGCGACUUCGCCU